rnacentral:rRNA from 1 species
UGGGGAAUAUUGGACAAUGGGCGAAAGCCUGAUCCAGCAAUGCCGCGUGGGUGAAGAAGGUCUUCGGAUUGUAAAGCCCUUUCGGCGGGGACGAUGAUGACGGUACCCGCAGAAGAAGCCCCGGCUAACUUCGUGCCAGCAGCCGCGGUAAUACGAAGGGGGCUAGCGUUGCUCGGAAUGACUGGGCGUAAAGGGCGCGUAGGCGGCGGCAAUAGUCAGACGUGAAAUUCCUGGGCUCAACCUGGGGGCUGCGUUUGAUACGUUGUCGCUUGAGUGCGGAAGAGGGUCGUGGAAUUCCCAGUGUAGAGGUGAAAUUCGUAGAUAUUGGGAAGAACACCGGUGGCGAAGGCGGCGACCUGGUCCGUAACUGACGCUGAGGCGCGAAAGCGUGGGGAGCAAACAGGAUUAGAUACCCCCGUAGUCC